rnacentral:lncRNA from 1 species
AUAGGGAAAUGGGAAAACAAACAUUUUAAAGGAAUCAGAGAGUGAGUGCAUAAUUUCAAAGCAAAGUCUUCUCUUGAAUGGUGAUAUGCACUACAGUAUGACCUGGAUCAGUUCCAGGGAUGGCAAUAACUGACUUUAUACUAUGCUGCAAUUUAGAAGGGGGACACGAAACAGGAACCAAUACAUGGUUAAUGCAGAAUACUGGUUGCCUAGAGCUACGAGCUCAGGCUGUAGACAACUGGAUCUUUGAAGAUUUAAUAGGUUCCUCGUUCUCUGUCAGUUGGUUCUUUCAGAAUGCCAAGCCUUAGCUCUGUUCUGCCUCAUACCUACAAUACUUAGCUAUGGAUUUUACAUUAAAGAAAUGUAGUUGGAUUUAAGCUAAUGGACAAUAAAGCAUUAGGGUUAGAGGUGCUGAUACAUGCACAGCUAAACUAGGGUCUGCAAUGAAUUAGCAUUGAAAAUAGAUGGUUUUAUAGUGACACAAGCUGUAUGGCCACGAUGAUGUUCCUAGAAAGGAAAUGUUUAAAUUGUUAACACUUGCCUAGCAUGUUGGAAUGUGAGAAAUAGCAAGAGCAGAAAAAAAAAAAAGCAAUGUAGACAUGGCUCAAUAGUCAACUUCGAGGUCACGUUUAGUGCUAAAGGUAAAGUUCUUAUUGAAUUGGGAGUUGGACUGAUGAAUAUACAAUCAACUGUAAAAAAAUUCAUGAAUGAGACAGAACAAUUGGCAUUAGAGCAGAUCUGAUGAUCUUUGAAAUGCAUGCCUUACCAAAGAAUGUACUAUUGUUCUGUCUAGACACAGUGACACAGUGUAAUAAAUAAAGACUGACAGCAUCGAUAUGUUUCAUAAAUAUAUAACUGAAAUGUUCAUCAUUUCAAGCCAUUAAUAUUUUCUCAAUUACCUUAGGUAAAGCAGUGUGUCCAUCUUAGAAAAUAAAAUAUACUGAAAAUACCAUUUGCUUCCAGACAAAGAAAUAAUGCCGUUUAUUUCUCAUUUCUCUGAACAUAUUCAUCUUCUUAAGUAAACCCUGGAAGUCUGAACCAGGAGCCAUAGAUAAUUCAUUAGCUUCAGUCCACAAGGCUAUUUUCUUAGAGACUUCUUGUACAUAUAAUAUCCUGCAAAGUUUUUAGAAGAUCGCUUCAAGGGUUUGUUUUUUUUUUUUUUUUCUUGUUCCUCUUUUCCUUGAAAAAUAAAAUAAACUGUGAUGGAUAGCUUGUGAAGCUAUCAGUCAGCAUCACGGAGCUGGUGUACUUCUUUCUAAACAGUUUCUUUGGGGGAUACGCAUAUUUUUUUGUUCAUGAAGCCAGAACCAGCAGAUGGGAGCUGAUCCGCAGUUGUACCUACAGGACUGUGGUGGGUUUUUUUUUUCCAGACUCACAUUUCCCAGGGCCAUGAUGCAGUCAAGGAAACUAAAAAUAUAACAUUGGAGAACAAUUAUUCCCUGUCAGGAAAUCUAUAAAUAUUCUGGGAAAGUAAUAUGAGCUACAUAUCCUGUUCCAGGGAAGAGGUGCGCAGAGUUCUCUUAUGUCCUGACUUGCAGUUCUGUGUGACACAGACACACUUCAGUAUCUUUUUAAAUUACUUAAAAAAAGAAAAAAGAAAAACUUGGAAAAGUACAUAAUUUCUUUGGCUGUGAGAGUCACUAAACACAUGUGAAAAAUAGGACUUCCCUCAUCAUAUCCUGGCACCAUGUCCUUUGGCUGUGCAUUUGCAAGGGCUUGUACUGGAUAGGUGACAGUUAUGCCUGCCUCAUACCUAUGCAGUUUCUCCCCCAAAACCAUGGUCCUACGAAAACAAACCAAAAUGAAAGGGUGCUCUUCAGCAGGACGGGCUCAAUCUCCACAUCUCCCUUGGGAAGGUUGGGAUGUCAGCUAGCACUGGAGCGAGAGGGUAUUGUACAGUUGAUGCGCCUCGGCACGACUGUGGAUGUGAGCCAGUUUUCCCACUUCUACCAAAUGCCAACUGCUUGAAAUCAGGAACCAUCUUGUCUACCUUUUUGUAUGCAAUUACCAAUAACAGGUCCUGCCACUUGAUGUCACCAAUAUUUCUCUCUAUAAGAAUAAUUUUAUAUUUUAUAAGGUUCAUAUCCAUUACUUAAGAGUCUGUGGAUACAAAUAAGUUAUCAUUUCAAAUAAUGUUUGUUCUUGUUAUGUCAUUUAAAAACUACCUUCUGAAUACCAAAUGUAAUUGCAUUGUCUUUUAUUUAAAUACUGUAGUUUAUAACUCUGAUGAGAUGUGCAUAAAUUAUGAAAAAAUAUUUUAUUGAUUCUAAAAUACAAAGCAAAGGACUCCAACUGUUGAUUUCAAACUUGUGAAUUAAGACUGGGUCCACAAACCACACCAUGAGGAUGCAAGCAGGUUUCUUGUCUGUUCUCAUAAUGAAAUUUUUACUGAAUGCAGCCAUACCACACUUCCAAGUAGUAGAGGGGAUUCAUACUCCCCCCUUACACCUGCAGGCAACCACUGAGCUCAACAAUGCUCUCAUUGUACCCACAGGAUAUUGGUCCUGGAUUACCACUGAACUUGCAUAGGCAGAGCAACACAAAGGUUGGUCUACUCAGAAGCUUGGGAGAGCCCCCUAAUUCUGAAGAAAGAGACAGAAAACCUCUGGACUUGCCUGAAUAUGUCUCUGUGAAAAUGCAUCUCUUCUACAUAGAUACUUCUCAAACACAUGUGGCUCUUGGGCUUUGGAAUGUGAUUAGUGACACUAGAGAACUGAACUUCAAUUUAUAUUUCACUUUGAUUAUUUAAAUCCACAUGACCACAUGGCUGGUGGUUAUUAUUUUAAGAGUGUGGUAUAAACUAUGUUAUUGCAAGUCUCACACCUAAUUCUUCAUUUGACUGUCAGACACCGCUUUCAGUACUGAGCAACUGCACUGAGUGUUGUCACUAAAAGAGAUUCAAAGAAGUGUAGAAUCUUUCUUUGCAUUUUCAGCAGUGAAUGCUGAUGAAUGGUACUUUCCUGCAACUAUAUCUCCUAUGCUUAGAAACUAGAGAAGCAGAUGCUAGCUUAGAAGAACCGAAAUGGUGGCAUACUGCACUGGAAACUAAGAACUCCCCCAUACCUUUUCCUCAAGAGUUCUUUUGCAAGAUACAAAUUUUAAUGAUUGAAUACAGAUUCUGGCACUUACAACUGCCAUCCACUGCCACUGAGACACCAUGUUCUCUUAAAUAAAAUUUUACAUGAUAAUUUAGAAUAAAGACAACAGCUUCUGAAGGGAUGCCAUUAGGUAGAAGUUGAAAUCCUUGCUUAUCGUAGCUCCCAUCUCAAUACUGGAGAUCUUUUGUAGCAAGUCUAGAGUUUCCAAGGAGCUUGGUUCAUAGAUUUGUGUGCCUUUUCAAUGUAUAUCCAUCCCUUAGAAAAAUCGAAAUUCUCACAAUUGCUCUGUAGUACAGCUUGAGAUCAGGCAUGGUGAUUCCACCAGAGGUUCUUUUAUUGUUGAGAAUAGUUUUUGCUAUCCUAGGUUUUUUGUUAUUCCAGAUGAAUUUGCAAAUUGCCCUUUCUAACUCAGUGAAGAACUGAGUUGGAAUUUUGGUAGGGAUUGCAUUGAAUCUGUAGAUUGCUUUCGGGCAGGAUAGCCAUUAUGACUAUAACAAUCCUACCAAUCCAUGAGCAUGGGAAAUCUUUCUAUCUUCUGAGAUCUUCUUCAAUUUCCUUCUUCAGAGACUUGAAGUUCUUAUCAUACAGAUCUUUCACUUCCUUAGUUGAUAAAAUAAGGGUAACUAUAAGACAUGGCAGGUAUCUUAGUUAGAUUUUCUUAACUGGGAUAAGACUUCAUGACCAAAUGCAAUUUGAAGAGAAAAGGGUUUUUGUAGUUCACCAUUUAGGAAAGUCAGGACAGAAACUUAAGACAGAAACCUGGAGGCAAUAUCUCAUGCAGAGGGCCCUGGGGGAAUGCUGCCUAAUGGUUUGCUCAGUCUGCUUUCCUUUAUUCCCUCAAGACCACCUUCCUAAGCUAUGCCCUCUAACAUCAUUCAGUGUUUUAGGGUUUUACUGCUGUGAACAGACACCAUGACCAAGGCAAUUCUUAAAAGGACAACAUUUAAUUGUGGCUGGCUUACAGGUUCAGGGAUUCAGUCCAUUAUCAUUGAGGCAGGAACAUGGCACCAUCCAGGCGAGGAUGGUGCAGGAGAAGGAUCUGAGAGUUCUACAUCUUCAUCUGAAGGCUAUUAGCAGAAUACUUGCUUCCAGAUGGCUAGAAUGAGGGUCUUAAAAGCCCACACUCAGAGUGACACACCUAUUCCAACAGGCCUCACCUUCUAAUAAUGCCACUCCCUGGACCAAGCAUAUACAAACUAUCAAAAUCACCAGUCAAGAAAAUUCCCCCCACAGUCUUUCCCAAUGGAAGGUCUGUUGGGUUCAUUCUCUCAAUUGAGGUUUCCUCUUCCCAAAACACUCUAGAUUGUGUCAAGUUGUAUCUAUUAUCAAGAUGACUAAACAAGACAGUGAAGAGAACUCAGGUUCCUCGUGUAGCAGUCACCAUGAAAUGAAGUGCUUCGAAAUUUCAGCUAGAAAUGCAACGAUGCUGGGAGCAUUCUCACUCAGAAACCACGCAUACACAUCUGUCCACAUUAAGCUCUCAUUCAAAGCCAGGCAGUGCUUCUCUAUGGAGAAAAUCAUAGAAACUCAGAGUUAGUCCUUGCUGUCUGUGUAUCUUAUGGAAGUAUUUAUCUCCUACCAUAUCACUUAAGGUACACAACAAGCUGAGGGGAGGGGCAAUCUCACAAACCACAGGUGGCAAACACAGAAAACCUACCAUGUUGCUCAGGAUCACUGGCAUGUCCUCACUCUCCAUCAAAGCUCUCAGGAUUUGUACCAUUAGUGUUGGGUUGCAUAUGAUAAUACUCAGUUUGAGGUCUUUAUUCCUAAGCCACUUCUUGCAGCAUUUAACUGUACUUGUGGAUGUUGUACCUGUCAUCCACAAGUGUCCUUCUGUUUUCUGGGUGUCAUCUGAUAUUAGCAUUUAAUACUUUUACACAUUUUAAUAAAUUUCAUCAUAUCCAAAAGGAAUAUGGACUUUAUUAGGAAGAGAUGUGUACUAUUUUUGCUCAUGGCUAUUAAAUAUUCAAAAUGUAUUGAAUGAAAGAAUACAAUAGCUCUUUUUGACUGUCUGCCAAUUUCAUUGAGGCCAAUUUCACUCAUCAGGAACUCGAAGCAUUGAUGUUUGACUUUGCUAGUUGGUUUGCCUUGUCCUAAAUAAAACCUUUAGGUGUAUCUUUUAGUACUUGCUCUCUCUAUAUUAAAACUAGCUACACUAGAUGUUCAAUAUUGUUGAAAACACUUUUAUUAGUUGUGUUGUUUAUAGUCAAUCACAUGAAUUUCUCUUUUGUAUUUGUAAACAUUUUGUUGUUUUUUUUUCUAGCAAACUGAAAAGUUUACAACUCACCCAACAUUUGUUCUCAUUGAUAAAAUAUGUACGAGUGAACUCAGUUUGUUCUUGAUGAAAGUUUGAAUUCCAUUUAGUGAGAGACAUUCUCAGAUUUCUACCUUAAUCAUUCAAACAACAACAGUCAGAUACUUUUAUAGGUCUUC